UGGAGCGUGUGGUUUAAUUCGAUGCUACACGAAGAACCUUACCAGGGUUUGACAUGCAAGUGGUAGGAAACCGAAAGGCGACCGACCCUUCGGGGAGCUUGCACAGGUGCUGCAUGGCUGUCGUCAGCUCGUGUCGUGAGAUGUUCGGUUAAGUCCGCUAACGAGCGCUACCCUCGCUGUGUGUUAUAUGUGUCACACGGGACUGCCGGUCUUAAGCCGGAGGAAGGUGAGGAUGAUGUCAAGUCAGCAUGGCCUUUAUAUCUUGGGCA
rnacentral:rRNA from 1 species